CGGAAUGUAGCCCAGCCCGGUUAAGGCGCCACGUUCGGGACGUGGAGAUCGAAGGUUCAAAUCCUUCCAUUCCGACCA
rnacentral:tRNA from 1 species